UUUUAAGAAACUAAUUUAUAGUUAUUCACUGUUAAUGAACAUAAGUGUGUUAAGCACCUUAAAAU
rnacentral:tRNA from 1 species